AUUGAACGCUGGCGGCAGGCCUAACACAUGCAAGUCGAACGAGUGGCGGACGGGUGAGUAAUAUCUGGGAAUGUGCCUUAUCGCGGGGGAUAACUACUCGACAGGAUGGCUAAUACCGCAUACUAUUAGACACCCCCAUAUGUGAUUAGCUUGUUGGUGGGGUAACGGCUCACCAAGGCGACGAUCCAUAGCUGGUCUGAGAGGAGGACCAGCAACACUGGGACGGAGACACGGCCCAGACGCCUACGGGAGGCAGCAGUGGGGAAUAUUGGACAAUGGGCGCAAGCCUGAUGCAGCCAUGCCGCGUGUAUGAAGAAGGCCUUAGGGUUGUAAAGUACUUUCAGCGGGGAGGCGGUACCCGCAGAAGAAGCACCGGCUAACUCCGUGCCAGCAGCCGCGGUAAUAC
rnacentral:rRNA from 1 species